rnacentral:rRNA from 1 species
AUUGAACGCUGGCGGCAGGCUUAACACAUGCAAGUCGAGCGGGGGAAGGUAGCUUGCUACCGGACCUAGCGGCGGACGGGUGAGUAAUGCUUAGGAAUCUGCCAAUUCGUGGGGGACAACAUCUCGAAAGGGAUGCUAAUACCGCAUACGUCCUACGGGAGAAAGCAGGGGAUCUUCGGACCUUGCGCUAAUAGAUGAGCCUAAGUCGGAUUAGCUAGUUGGUGGGGUAAAGGCCUACCAAGGCGACGAUCUGUAGCGGGUCUGAGAGGAUGAUCCGCCACACUGGGACUGAGACACGGCCCAGACUCCUACGGGAGGCAGCAGUGGGGAAUAUUGGACAAUGGGGGGAACCCUGAUCCAGCCAUGCCGCGUGUGUGAAGAAGGCCUUAUGGUUGUAAAGCACUUUAAGCGAGGAGGAGGCUACUCUAGUUAAUACCUAGGGAUAGUGGACGUUACUCGCAGAAUAAGCACCGGCUAACUCUGUGCCAGCCGCCGCCGUAA